GCCCUUCCAAAAUCCAUCCGCGCCACCUAUAUUGGCCAUGUCGGUCGCGAGAUCGACUAUGGCGAUAAACGGCUAUCGAAAUAAACCCAUCGGACCCGGGGGCGGUACCCGGCGCCUCCACCAAAACCCAGGCUCCGCUUGGGUUUCGGCGGGGGCGAAAUAGGAUCGACGAGGGCGUAAAGGGUGGACUUUCGCUCGGCAUGGUUCCGCCGUUAUCGGGCCGAAUCUAUAGUUGCCAACGACAACUAUGCUCCGGUUGCAGUGGCUGCGUAAGCGGUCCCUAAAGCCGAAUCAAAGCCCUUGCGGGUAGCACCGUAAGGCGGGGUCCGGAGGCACCUGGCAACAGAAGCCUCCACU
rfam:Microvirga lotononidis strain WSM3557 genomic scaffold Micloscaffold_13, whole genome shotgun sequence.